AGAUCUCUCCCUUCUGGAUUUUUCCUUGCGAGCGUAGAUCUUCGGAGCUGGAGAUGUUCAAAGCUUCCGGAUGACAGAGCCGGAGAGGCCUUUAUGCUGCACGGACUCAGUGACCACAAGGCGAGUAAAGGUCUCUUCUAGCAAAAACAACAAAGAAAGCCCAAACUCAGGAGGCAGAAUCCACUGAAGAUGCUGAAAAUCUGAAGCUGUGAAUGAAAGAGAAGACUGUUUACCAGGCAAUAUGGGAGCUCUCAGUUUGCAGUGGUAAAAAUCCUCUGGUCUUGGUGAUUUCUCCAUGAAACCAAUGUCAAGAGUCGCGGUGACAAGGUCAGGGAGAGAUUUCCGCACAGUGAGGAGUUGCUUGAUGUAGAGGUGUGGAGACCAUUGCCAGGGGAGGAGCAGCAUGGACUGUGUCAUCUCUACUGGGCUGAAGUGAACUGGGGUUGUUGAAGGCUGCACCUGGAAGUUGGUGGGAAGAAUGAAUCGGGUCAAAAAUGAGACCCUCAUUUAAAGCACUUGAGACAACAUUUCAGCUAUAGAUUUACUAAAUGUUGUUAUACCUGUUACGCUUGUUGACCAGGUCUAAAGCAUGAUCUGGAUGUGCCUGUGCCGUUGGGAUGGUUGGGAAGUGUAGUUCAGUGUAGAUUUUUAUAAAUUAAAGCAGAUUUUUGAUGAUAGAACAGAAAGGAGGAC
ensembl:lncRNA